AUUGAACGCUGGCGGCAUGCUUUACACAUGCAAGUCGAACGGCAGCGCGGGGCAACCUGGCGGCGAGUGGCGAACGGGUGAGUAAUAUAUCGGAACGUACCCAGAAGUGGGGGAUAACGUAGCGAAAGUUACGCUAAUACCGCAUACGAUCUACGGAUGAAAGUAGGGGACCGCAAGGCCUUAUGCUUUUGGAGCGGCCGAUAUCUGAUUAGCUAGUUGGUGAGGUAAAGGCUCACCAAGGCGACGAUCAGUAGCUGGUCUGAGAGGACGACCAGCCACACUGGAACUGAGACACGGUCCAGACUCCUACGGGAGGCAGCAGUGGGGAAUUUUGGACAAUGGGCGCAAGCCUGAUCCAGCAAUGCCGCGUGAGUGAAGAAGGCCUUCGGGUUGUAAAGCUCUUUUGUCAGGGAAGAAACGGUAGAGGCUAAUAUCCUUUGCUAAUGACGGUACCCGAAGAAUAAGCACCGGCUAACUACGUG
rnacentral:rRNA from 1 species